AUUAAAAAUUAUUUAAAAAUUUUUUAUGAAAAAAGAGUUUAUAAAUAAAAAUAAUUUUAAUAGUUUAAAUUUUUAGUUUUAUAUAAAUAAAAAAUAAUUUUUUUUAUAGUUAAAAAGUAUUGUAAAAUAAAAUUGAAAUAAUUUUGAAAAUUAUUUAUAUAAAAAGAAAAAUUAGUUUUUUGUGCCUUGUGUGUCAGGAUUAAUUAAUUAAAUAAUAAAUUUUUAUUUUUCUCGAAUUUAAAAGAUUUAAUAAUUUAAUUUAUUUAUUGUAAAAUAAAUAUUAAUUUAUAGAUUAUUAGAAAUGAAACGUUAUUCGUUUUUAAAUUUAUCUAGUUUUUUUAGAAAUAAAUUUAAUUUAAAUUAUUUUAAUUAAUUAUUUAAAUCAAUUAAAUAAUUAAUUUAUAAUAAAAAAUAUUUUAAGGGAUGAGCUUUAAAAUAAAAUUUUAUAAUUUUUAAAUAAAAAUUUAAAAAAUAAGCUUAAAAAUAGUUAUUUUUAAAGAUAAUGUUAUAAUUUAUAUUAUAUUAACAAUAAUAUUUAAUUUAUAUUUAAUUUUUUAUAAAAAAAAUUAUUAUAAUAAAAAAAAAUAAAAUUAUAAUGAUUAAAUUAGUAAAAUUUUUAAAGUUUUUAUUUUAUAAAUAAUUUUUAGGUUAAAAUAAUUAAUUCGACAAUUUUAAAUAUUCAUCUGUUUAUCAAAAACAUUUCUUUUUGUUUAAAUAAAAAGUUUAACCUGCCCACUGAAAUAAUUUAAAGGGCCGCGGUAUUUUGACCGUGCAAAGGUAGCAUAAUCAUUAGUCUUUUAAUUGAGGACUGGAAUGAAUGGUUGAAUGAGAUAUUUUUUGUAUCGUUAAAAUUUAAAAUUAAAUUUUAUAUUUUAGUUAAAAAGCUAAAAUAAUUUUUAAAGACGAGAAGACCCUAUAAAGCUUUAUAUUUUUUAUUAUAUUUUUUAUAAAGAAUUUAUAUUAAGUUUAUAUAAUAAAAAUUAUUUUAUUGGGGUGAUAUUAAAAUUUAUUUAACUUUUAAUUUAUUUUUUCAAUUAUUUUUGUUUGAAUAUUUGAUCCAAAUUUUUUGAUUAAAAAUUUAAGUUACUUUAGGGAUAACAGCGUAAUUUUUUUGGAGAGUUCAAAUCGAUAAAAAAGAUUGCGACCUCGAUGUUGGACUAAGAAUUAUUUUAGGUGUAGAAGUUUAAAUUUUAAGUCUGUUCGACUAUUAAAUUCUUACGUGAUCUGAGUUCAAACCGGUGUAAGCCAGGUUGGUUUCUAUCUUAAAUAAAAUUUUAUAUUUUAGUACGAAAGGACCAAAUAUAAAAAUUUUUAUUUUAAAAAAGACUAAAAAUAAAUGAGAUAAAAUUAAUAUUUUUUUAUAUUUAAAAUUAAAGGUU
rnacentral:rRNA from 1 species